rnacentral:other from 1 species
UAUUAACUGCUUGGUUCGAUUAAGGCUUUCAGCACUUCGGAUCGAUAUUACUCUUUAGGGAGUGGUCACUGGGAUUUGCCGUGGCAUUUUUCACACUGCGCCCACCUUGACAAAAAAGGGUCUAAGUAGCAAGCCAACGGCCAAGCGGUUAUAAA